rnacentral:rRNA from 1 species
CGGAACGGGUGAGUAACGCGUGAGGAACCUGCCUCAAAGAGGGGGACAACAGUUGGAAACGACUGCUAAUACCGCAUAAGCCCACGGCUCGGCAUCGAGCAGGGGGAAAAGGAGUAAUCCGCUUUGAGAUGGCCUCGCGUCCGAUUAGCUAGUUGGUGAGGUAAUGGCCCACCAAGGCGACGAUCGGUAGCCGGACUGAGAGGAUGAACGGCCACAUUGGGACUGAGACACGGCCCAG